rnacentral:rRNA from 1 species
GACGAACCGAGCGAACGUUGUUCGGAAUCACUGGGCUUAAAGGGCGCGUAGGCGGGCUGCCAAGUUUGGGGUGAAAUCCUCCGGCUCAACCGGGGAAGGGCCUUGAAUACUGGCGGUCUGGAGGGAGGUAGGGGCGUGCGGAACUGUGGGUGGAGCGGUGAAAUGCGUUGAUAUCCACAGGAACUCCGGUGGCGAAGGCGGCACGCUGGACCUUUUCUGACGCUGAGGCGCGAAAGCCAGGGGAGCGUACGGG